rnacentral:tmRNA from 1 species
GGGGGUGCACCGGUUUCGACUUGGAAACAAAGUACCGAUGGCAUGCAGAGGAUUCGGUUGGCCUCUUAAAAAAGCCGAAACGACAUAACUGUCAAAACAAAAAAAGCACAGCGCUUUGAAUUCCCUACUCAUGCAGUAGUUGGAACUGAAGUUGCUGCAGCCGCUGCUUAAGACCUAAUCCGUCUAUUGUAGCCGACCCUCUGAGAUUGGACCAGGGAUCUUAGAAAGGUCGUCAGAGAUCUUGGUAUGAAAUACAGUCGCUUGACUUCCAGAGGCAGUGUUUCAAGAUUAAAGGAAGUGUGCGAGUCCCUUGUGGGGUUCCUUACAGCAAGAUUCGCACUAAAAUUAAGGGACUAAGCAUGUAGGCAUUGUUAUAGAGUUUGCUAAGGACGAGAGUUCGAUUCUCUCCACCUCCAACC